AUUAAGACUGGUUCUAACUUGCAGUCCUAUCCCUCUUUCUCAGUUCCUUAUCAACCUUCACAAAUUCUAUGCUUGGUCUCAGCCCAAAGGUGAAGACUGAGCAUAAUUGUUUCAGGUAUUUGAUUUAUCGGACCACUGGAAAAGUACUUUACCCAGAUACUCCAAUCAGAAUUUUGCAUUCAAGUAACUAUUGCAUAGAUUUGGCUAGAAACUUUGAAUUUGGCUUGAUUUCUAAAUUUCCCUGCCAUCCAUGCAACAAGCCAAGUUUGAAGAAAAUUAUACUAGUCAGGGGCGCUGGAACAAUUUGUAUAGUGGGAGUGCUGAGAGCCAUUGAACCAAACUGUAAACCCUAUAUAUAAUGGAAACCACUUCAAGCCAGGGGGUGCGGCACCACUAGUUCUAGCACCUGUGAUACUAGUAGUUUUAAAGUCCCCAUCUCAAACAUGAACAUAAAAUUUCCCUAUGCUGUUUUUCAGGCACCAAUAAAGCAGACUAUUAGCUACUGUGCUUUAUGGCGGUCCCUCACAGAUGAAAGGAUGGCUCGUUACACAAAGAAGAAAGGAAAGGGAACCAAGAGUGACAAAUGCUGACCCAUGUACACCCAUGCAACCCCAGUUAAGUCAAUGAAACAGAUCCACAUUGGCUUUCACUUGAGGAACCAGCAGUGCUGGGGAAAGGACCAGAUGGACAACAUUAGGGAUUGCCAUCCUCUUUCUCUGCACGCAAUGGGGAUUAGCAUGGGCAGCAGCAAUGCAAGCUACCUUAACACUGCCCCCUUCCAGCCACCAGCGGCACCCUCGACCUUGCACUGAAAGGACUUCUUGGGGUGAAGACAGCUGUUGAGGCUGGGAUUUGCAAAGAUGCCUAAGGAAGUUAGGCCUUAAAUCUUCCUUGUGUCUGUAAAAAGGGGACAAUGCCUACCUCACAGGAAUGUUGUGGGGAUUAUUUCCCGCUGGCUAAGCUCUUUUAAAGACAUAAUGAGCUCUCUAAUUGCUAAUCAUUAUUAUAUCAUGCUUUGAAAUUAAUCCCAGCAGGUUGGAACACCCUGCACACAUAUCAAAGGGGAUCGCGCAUCUGUGCUGUAAGCGCUCUUUCUUAAGCCCUUCGUACGCUGCCUGAGAACAACACUGCCAGUGUAUUCUGUGCAACCUAAACCCCCAUUAUAUAACCAGCAAAACACAGCCCGUUGUUGGUGCUGCUCCUCAAUGAAAAUAACAUCAUGAGGUUCUUUUACCCAGCUUCCUCAAACAGUUUUGACCCCCAUCUCACAUUCUGCAGUCUCAGGGGUAGGGAAAUGGAUCCAAAAGGUCUGGAUUGCAACGGAGGCAAUCACAGGUCUCCUCUGCUGGCUGGGGAGUUGAAGCUUAGUGUUUUCACUAAUGCUGCAGGGCUGUGAGCUCGCCUGCAUUUGGGAUGUGGGUCCAACUCCUAGUGAAGUCAAUGGAAGGCUCUUUUUGACAUCAGUGGGAGUUCGGUUGGGCCCCUGGAGGGAGACACUAGGAAAUUCACUCAGUCACCCUCAAACACAUUCCACUUCCAGGCGCAGGACCAAUGUACUGUUUCCCAUCCCAGUAGGCCUAGCAAGGGGAGAGAGGCAAUGGAGGAGAGAAAUGUUGACAGAGAGGGUUGAACACUGAAGGCAAAAAUAGAUAGAGACCAAAAGGCCAAAUCAGAAAAGAAAAUAGUUUGAAGAGAGUCAGACAGAGAGUUGAGAUAAGAAAAUGAACUGCGACAUUUUAAAAAAAUGUAAAAUGUCAAUUAUAUUAGUUAGAGGGAAACACAAACACUGAACAAAGAUUGAAUUCUGGAAACAUUCAAAACUAGGUCAACACUUUACACUGGGUUAAUAAUUGAUUAAUAGAUGUUUUAGAUUACAGAAUCUUUGUUAUAGAUUGUUACAGAAUCCAACAGGCCAAUAGGCUGCUUAUUGUAUAGCUUAUAACAUCUCCCUCUGAGGUGUUUAUAACUGUCCACAACACAUAUUACGCAUAUCUGUAAUAUGCUUAUACCGUCUAUUCCCAAUUCUUAACCAUUUAUAAGUGGAAACAAUAUAAAUUGUGACUAAAAUGGAUUAUCUAGAAGAGCCCUUGGAAAGAGAACAGUGCUUCAUGCCAGGUUUGAAUUGUCUUCUUCACAACUAUAAAGACUAGAGACUUAUUUAUCCUAAACAACUCUGUCAAUACUUUCUGCCCUAAUAUUGCUGUGCACUGCUGAAAAGCUGCUGUGUGCCAAACCAGAGCUGGCUUCGAUGCAGUGAAGUGAUGAUGAUUAUUACAGUGUUUGUGGUGGAGAGUAGGGGUUGGAAGGCAGCUAACUAGAUCAGAUGAAAGGAGAGAGAGAUGGGAGGUCUUUUAGCUGGUAAGGGCCCAAUCCAAAGCCUGCAGAAGUGAAAGGAAAAUCUCUCAUUGACUUCAGUAGGCACUGGACGAGGCCCUUAUGCCAUGAUUUUAUAGUUCAGAGAAGGGGGGAGGGGGAGAGAGAGGUGAGGUAAUAUCGUUUAUUGGACCAACAUCUGCUGGUGAGAGAGACAAGCUUUGGAGAUACACUGAGCUCUGCGUCAGGGCUGGGAAAUGUACUCCCAGUGAGGCGUGGAGUGCCUUCCUCGGGUCUGCAGAAGAGUUCUAUGCGCUUCGAAAGCUUCUCUCUCACGCACAGAAGUUGGUCCAAUAAACAAGAUUAUCUUGCCCACCUUGCCUGUCUAAAUUCUGGGACCAACGUGGCUACAACCCCACUGCAUAUGCUGAUUCAGACCAGUUUGAUAGUGAGGUGCCCAUCAGAACCCUAAAUUGAGGGUAGCGCAGAGAAAGCAUUUGGCAAAUCAGUGUUAACAGAAGGCUCCACCUUUUUUAGUCACUCUCUAGUGCUCCCACACUGGCUGCAUGCUUCACAGAUAAAUACGCUGAUAGAUCUUUCGCAGUGCUACCGUGGUGGUCAUGAGAAAAAGCCCCCGGCUUCACAUCUACAAAGGAGCAGCAGUACAGAAACAUGCCCUGUAUGUUCAUCUCUCUCUCCAUACGGUGUCUUGUGCUGGAUGCAUCAUGAAAGACACUAUAUACUGCAAACGUCUGUAGUACUACAUGCCUUACAACAGCUUUUAUGUCUAAAGGAAUGGGUGAGCUGAGUGUGUAAUUUUUAUCCAUAUGUGAAUACUUCCAAGAAAUCUUCCUAUACCUCUUACUAAAAGUGCAGGCUUGCUCGCCCCAAACAUUUCCAAACAUAUUUGCCCUGGUAGAAGAGCUAGAGUCUUCUGUCCUUCCUGAGGCUGUCACAAGAGUUAAUUGAUUAAUAAUUGUAAAUCACUUUGAAACCAUUAAGUGCUGUAUAAGUGAUACAUUAAUAACCAGCACCACCACCACAAUGCACUAGCUAAAGGGAGCAGCGUGAGUGAUAAGUUCAGUGGCACAGAGAUAACACAGAAAGAUUAAAUGACCCACAACGAGAACCCUGGCAGGAUUUCUCAGCAAUGGAGCUGGGGCCACAGCUGGCAGGUAUAGGAAAUACAUUGCUGCUCACCAGGCCUUCGGAUAACUUAGUCUCCAUCACAGCAAAACACACAACUCUGAUGUACAAACAUUCAAACAACCCCAACCCACCUAGACAGGACUUGUUUUUGAUUUUUGAGUAAAAGUUUCUUACCUU